UGUCGGCGAGGUCGAGCGAGAGCGUGCAAGUCGGGACCCGAAAGAUGGUGAACUAUGCCUGAGGAGGUUGAAGCCAGAGGAAACUCUGGUGGAGGACCGUAGCGAUUCUGACGUGCAAAUCGAUCGUCAAAUUUGGGUAUAGGGGCGAAAGACUAAUCGAACCGUCUAGUAGCUGGUUCCCUUCGAAGUUUCCCUCAGGAUAGCUGGCGCUCUGUCGCAGUUUUAUCUGGUAAAGCGAAUGAUUAGAGGUCUUGGGGGCGAAACGCCCUCAACCUAUUCUCAAACUUUAAAUUGGUAAGAAGCCCGACUCGCUCGUUUGGAGCCGGGCAUGGAAUGCGAGUGCCAAGUGGGCCACUCUUGGUAAGCAGGACUGGCGAUGCGGGAUGAACCGAACGCCGGGUUAAGGCGCCCGACGCGACGCUCAUCAGAGCCCACAAAAGGUGUUGGUUGAUAUAGACAGCAGGACGGUGGCCAUGGAAGUCGGAAACCGCUAAGGAGUGUGUAACAACUCACCUGCCGAAUCAAUCAGCCCUGAAAAUGGAUGGCGCUGGAGCGUCGGGCCUAUACCCGGCCGUCGCGGCGGUACGAGCAUCGAGUUGGUGCGCUAGGCCGCGACGAGUAGGAGGGCCGCGGCGGCGGGCGUAGAAGCCUAGGGCGCGAGCCCGGGUGGAGCAGCCGUCGGUGCAGAUCAUGGUGAAUAGUAGCAAAUAUUCAAAUG
rnacentral:ncRNA from 1 species